GAUGAACGCUGGCGGCGUGCCUAAUACAUGCAAGUCGAGCGAACAGACGAGGAGCUUGCUCCUCUGACGUUAGCGGCGGACGGGUGAGUAACACGUGGAUAACCUACCUAUAAGACUGGGAUAACUUCGGGAAACCGGAGCUAAUACCGGAUAAUAUAUUGAACUGCAUGGUUCAAUAGUGAAAGACGGUUUUGCUGUCACUUAUAGAUGGAUCCGCGCCGCAUUAGCUAGUUGGUAAGGUAACGGCUUACCAAGGCAACGAUGCGUAGCCGACCUGAGAGGGUGAUCGGCCACACUGGAACUGAGACACGGUCCAGACUCCUACGAGAGACAGCAGUAGGGAAUCUUCCGCAAUGGGCGAAAGCUGGACGGAGCAACGCCGCGUGAGUGAUGAAGGUCUUCGGAUCGUAAAACUCUGUUAUUAGUGAAGAACAAAUGUGUAAGUAACUAUGCACGUCUUGACGGUACCUAAUCAGAAAGCCACGGCUAACUACGUGC
rnacentral:rRNA from 1 species